rnacentral:rRNA from 1 species
AUUGAACGCUGGCGGCAGGCCUAACACAUGCAAGUCGAACGGUAACAGGAAGCAGCUUGCUGCUUCGCUGACGAGUGGCGGACGGGUGAGUAAUGUCUGGGAAACUGCCUGAUGGAGGGGGAUAACUACUGGAAACGGUAGCUAAUACCGCAUAACGUCGCAAGACCAAAGAGGGGGACCUUAGGGCCUCUCGCCAUCGGAUGUGCCCAGAUGGGAUUAGCUAGUAGGUGGGGUAACGGCUCACCUAGGCGACGAUCCCUAGCUGGUCUGAGAGGAUGACCAGCCACACUGGAACUGAGACACGGUCCAGACUCCUACGGGAGGCAGCAGUGGGGAAUAUUGCACAAAGGGCGCAAGCCUGAUGCAGCCAUGCCGCGUGUAUGAAGAAGGCCUUCGGGUUGUAAAGUACUUUCAGCGGGGAGGAAGGGAGUAAAGUUAAUACCUUUGCUCAUUGACGUUACCCGCAGAAGAAGCACCGGCUAACUCCGUG